rnacentral:rRNA from 1 species
ACGCUGGCGGCGUGCUUAACACAUGCAAGUCGAACGAGAAGUGGAGACGGAAACCUUCGGGCGGAAGACUUUAUUUCGAGUGGCGGACGGGUGAGUAACGCGUGGGUAACCUGCCUCAUACAGGGGGAUAACAGUUGGAAACGACUGUUAAUACCGCAUAAGACCACAGCACCGCAUGGUGCGGGGGUAAAAACUCCGGUGGUAUGAGAUGGACCCGCGUUCGAUUAGCCAGUUGGCGGGGUAACGGCCCACCAAAGCGACGAUCGAUAGCCGAUCUGAGAGGAUGACCGGCCACAUUGGGACUGAGACACGGCCCAAACUCCUACGGGAGGCAGCAGUGGGGAAUAUUGCACAAUGGGGGAAACCCUGAUGCAGCGACGCCGCGUGAGUGAAGAAGUAUUUCGGUAUGUAAAGCUCUAUCAGCAGGGAAGAAAAUGACGGUACCUGAGUAAGAAGCCCCGGCUAACUACGUGCCAGCAGCCGCGGUGAUACGUAGGGGGCAAGCGUUAUCCGGAUUUACUGGGUGUAAAGGGAGCGCAGACGGCUCUGCAAGUCUGAAGUGAAAGCCCGCGGCUUAACCGCGGGACUGCUUUGGAAACUGCAAGGCUUGAGUAUCGGAGGGGCAGGCGGAAUUCCUAGUGUAGCGGUGAAAUGCGUAGAUAUUAGGAAGAACACCGGUGGCGAAGGCGGCCUGCUGGACGAAAACUGACGUUGAGGCUCGAAGGCGUGGGGAACAAACAGGAUUAGAUACCCUGGUAGUCCACGCGGUAAACGAUGAAUACUGGUGUUGGUGCCCGAAGGGCAUCGGUGCCGUCGCAAACGCAAUAAGUAUUCCACCUGGGGAGUACGUUCGCAAGAAUGAAACUCAAAGGAAUUGACGGGGACCCGCACAAGCGGUGGAGCAUGUGGUUGAA